rnacentral:rRNA from 1 species
AUGGGCACGAAAGGCAAAAGCAGGCUGCGCAAUAAGCGCGGAGGCGUGGCUGUUCGGCCGAAUGCGCCUCCCGUAGCCCAGGCGAAGGCCGGCGGCGACCCAACGGCGAAGACAGGGUCGCAGGAGAAGGUGGCUAUCCUCACGGCCCACAACGCCGCGGAGCUGCCAAAGUUCGACAACGCGCAGCAGCGCGACGGUGGCGAGGUGGUGCUCCCUCAGGUGACCGACCUUCACCUUCACGGCGCCACCGAUGGGAAGGCCGCGCAGCCGGCCGACGACGGCCCUGGCGAGCUCGAGCGGGAAGCGCCGGGGUCGGGCGAGGUUGUGCUCCCUGACCAGGUCGAGGAACCUGGCCUUCACGGCGCCACCGAGAAGGCCGAGGAUGUGCCAGUGGAGAUCGAGGGGGAAGCGCCCGGGUCGGGCGAGGUGGUGCUCCCCGACGAGGUCGAGGAGCCCGCCUUUCACGGCGCCACCGCAGAGGAGGUCGUGCGGCCGGCGACGGAGGAGCCGGACGACGUGCCUGUCGAGCUCGAGGCGGGAGGAUCGGAGGAGGAGACGCACGCGCCGCACGCCGAGGAGGAGCUCCCGGACGACACCGUCGUUGGCGAUGUCCUCGUGGACCACUACGUCGUCCACCCCGAGGAGGUCGUCUCCCUGCGCCGGCGCCUGGCCGCCGCGCGGGCGAGGAACCUCCUGAACCCGGAGACGAUCGACGAACUAAACAAGCUAUUCGAGGAGAUGGGGCUCUCGGCUGCCGUCGCGUGGAAGGGCCAGGGUCGCCGUUGA